UCAAAACAAAUGCGUGACAGAACACUGCCAAUAUUCACGUAACUCAAAGCUUGCGCCUGUGUGAUAAAAUCUCUGAAAAGUCAAUGCGGAAAAGUCAGUUCUGAAAAAAUACGUUGCAAUGGCGUAAACGUACACCUUUACAAGUUUUUAAAACUAAAUAUACAACCUUUCAAAACUUAUUUCUCAAUGUAUGAACACCUGUUUGCAGAAUCCCAUUUACUAGGUUUCAAAACCGGGAAACAAUGAAAUACACUGUUAGAACAGUGCCAGAUUUGAAACUCUGCAAAUGCGCUGGUGAAAUUGUUUGAACUUUGAAAAUGUGUUGGUGAAAAUGAUGAAGAAGAUAAAAUAGAACACAAAAUCAUGUUUACAGAUGUUUGAAUUUUUGUUUGAAUUUUUUUCAGGUUAUAAUCUCUUUUUUCAGUGUUGCAGAACCUUUUUUUACAAGGUGUUGAGUUUUCAAACCCAGACUUACAAGCCUUUGAAACUUUUUUUUUCAGGUUUGAAUUAUGGCAGGAAACUGGCUCCAUAGAUUACCGGCUACUGUAAAUAAUAUAAUAGAGGCGCAAAAAUGUAUAACAGCCAAGUAUCAAGAGGGUUAAUUUUUUGGCUAAUCUAUUAUAUUAUUUACGGUAGCAGGUGUUCGACUUGUGUGGACCUCCUGGAAACAUGGCCCUACAGGUAAGGCACAGACCUGGAAACAGUCUUUUGUGUAGGGACCCUAGUCAUGCUACUGCAGAGGUUUGGUGCUAUUUUGAGCAAUAUUAGUGGUUAAAAAUGUUCGAUUUGGAAGCAUUCACACUGCCGCUAGCCAAUAACAUGGAAGGCAUUUGGGCUGUAACAUUGAUCCUGGCAUUCGGGGCAAGCUCUAUAAUCGAUUAUCAACGAAACCGAAAAAGACCCUUGGUUAAAUUUCCACCCGGAAUUACACUUUAAGAAGUGGCUCAUUAAUCAUUAAUCUAUCCAUGCAUAACCUCCUAAACUUUUUUUUUUGGCUUUGAUUGUACAAACAUGCAUGUAUGCACACCACUGGGGUUGUAUGUAUGCAUAUACAUACACACAUUACCAUAUAUAUCCUAGUAUAUACACACAUACACAAACACAAUAUAUAUGAUGUGUUUUUUAGAAUCCAACAACAGAAGACCAGGGCAGGACGUUCCAUGUAAUCCUGGUAACAGUAGCUUUCGGUUAACAUUUUUCCUACCAGGACGUGUGAAUGGCUUGGUUUUUACUGUACAUUUGUAUCAUAAAAUGCACAGCCAGAACUGUUUCAGCUGUAUUGCAGCCUUACAACUCAGUAGUUUGGGCUGCGUUCCUAGCUAGUGACAAAGUGUGCUUUAAAGAAUUUGUGUGUGUGAUUUUUUUUUACUUGUUAGUUUUUUUUUUCCUGGUUCAAAUUGCUGUACUUGAAAUUGAAAAUACAAGCCAUGCAAGGUUCAAGACACAAGGGUUGUCCAUGCUGUUAAAAAGGGAGAUUUUGACCCUCAGUCUCCUUGAACAGGCACUGUCUCUAACAUAAUUGUUAAGUGAUCUUUUCAGGUAUAUGAUGUGCACAACAUGAGCUCUGUUGUAUGAUGUAUUGUUGUAAUAUAGUGAUUGUGGGUAUGGGUUAGAGUAUGUAUAUGAAGUGCCUCUUUUGUAUUUUUUAACCGUUUAUUUGUAUGCGGAAUAAGAAAAAAAAUAACAACAACACUGUGAUUUCGUAUGUGUGUGUGUGUGUGUGUGUGUGUGUGUGUGUGUGUGUGUGUGUGUGUGUGUGUAUGUGUGUGUGUGUGUGAUUGUGUGUGUGUGUGUGUGUGUGUGUGUGUGUGUGUGUGUGUGUGUGUGUGUGUGUGAGAGAGAGAGAGAGAGAGAGAGAGGGAGAGAGAGACAGCGUGAGAGGGAGAGAGAGUGAGAGAGAGA